CUGGCUGAGGGCUCCUUUCUACCGCCCGGACGAGAGAGGAUGCCCCUGGACACUGACGAGGACCACUCCUAUAACAAGAGGCCUUACAGCUUCCUUCCUAAAGAGUCGUGAGAUGGAACUUUGUUCUCAUGACCUCGCCAAGAACAUGAGUGAGGAAGCGCACCAAAGGCUGAAGGACUUCAGUGAAAGAUUCCAAGGAGUUUUUAAAUAGGCUUUAAACUCCUGCAGGUCAAUCUUUUUUUAAGUUGACCAGCUUGAAUGGUGCCCCUCUGAUUUUCCACAUGAUGUUCUGUUCAAUAAAUGUUCAUUGAGGAAAA